rnacentral:rRNA from 1 species
GACCAGACUCCUACGGGAGGCAGCAGUGGGGAAUAUUGCACAAUGGGGGGAACCCUGAUGCAGCGACGCCGCGUGGGUGAAGGAGUACUUCGGUACGUAAAGCCCUAUCAGCAGGAAAGAAAAUGACGGUACCUGACUAAGAAGCCCCGGCUAACUACGUGCCAGCAGCCGCGGUAAUACGUAGGGGGCAAGCGUUAUCCGGAUUUACUGGGUGUAAAGGGAGCGUAGACGGCAGUGCAAGUCUGGAGUGAAAGCCCGGGGCCCAACCCCGGGACUGCUCUGGAAACUGCGGCGCUGGAGUACGGGAGGGGCAGGCGGUAUUCCUGGUGUAGCGGUGAAAUGCGUAGAUAUUAGGAGGAACACCAGUGGCGAAGGCGGCCUGCUGGACGACAACUGACGGUGAGGCGCGAAAGCGUGGGGAGCAAACAGGAUUAGAUACCCUCGUAA